GUGCAUCGAACUGCUGACGCUCCAUCCGCUUCAGUUUUACCCCAAGUGAACCUUGUGGGUUUGAAAGGUGUCCUGUGUUGCUUACCAAUAGAAUGGAAUUCGAUGGAUUUGUUACGCGCUUCCGCCUUGUGCCCRUACGGGUGCGAGGUGGACGUGAUGCGAGCUCUGUGUYCCCAGCAYRCCAAGUGCUUCGGCAUUUGGCUGCUGCGGCCCRUGGGGUCUUUGCUUGUUCUCUCGGAUGCGGAAUGCUAAGUGCGGGCGUGCGAGGUCUCGAUCUUGACUCGUCCAGGCACUGACUUUUCACUUGAAUGACCGCCGCGCCUGUGUUGAUCUUUCCGACCGAGGCCUCUUUAAUGGGGCUUACCGGACGAGGGGGGAUCAUGCAGGUGUCAGCGUCAAAGAGGAAAGC
rnacentral:misc_RNA from 1 species